rnacentral:rRNA from 1 species
AUGAACGCUGGCGGAAUGCUUUACACAUGCAAGUCGAGCGGCAGCGCGGGGGCAACCCUGGCGGCGAGCGGCGAACGGGUGAGUAAUACAUCGGAACAUGUCCAGUUGUGGGGGAUAGCCCGGCGAAAGCCGGAUUAAUACCGCAUGAGCUCGAGAGAGGAAAGCGGGGGACCGAAAGGCCUCGCGCGACUGGGUUGGCCGAUGUCCGAUUAGCUAGUUGGUGGGGUAAAGGCCUACCAAGGCGAUGAUCGGUAGCUGGUCUGAGAGGAUGAUCAGCCACACUGGGACUGAGACACGGCCCAGACUCCUACGGGAGGCAGCAGUGGGGAAUUUUGGACAAUGGGGGCAACCCUGAUCCAGCCAUUCCGCGUGAGUGAAGAAGGCCUUCGGGUUGUAAAGCUCUUUUGUCCGGAGCGAAACGGUUACGGUGAAUAUCCGUGACUACUGACGGUACCGGAAGAAUAAGCACCGGCUAACUACGUGCCAGCAGCCGCGGUAAUACGUAGGGUGCGAGCGUUAAUCGGAAUUACUGGGCGUAAAGCGUGCGCAGGCGGGCUUUUAAGCCAGACGUGAAAUCCCCGGGCUUAACCUGGGAAUGGCGUUUGGGACUGGGAGUCUGGAGUGCGGCAGAGGAGACUGGAAUUCCUGGUGUAGCAGGUGAGAAUGCGUAGAUAUCAGGGAGGAACACCGAUGGCGAAGGCAGGUCUCUGGGGCUGACACUGACGCUCAUGCACGAAAGCGUGGGGAGCAAAACCCGGAUUAGAUACCCUGGUAGUCCAAGCCCUAAAGAUGUCGACUGGUUGUGGGGGUUGACCUCUCAGAACGAAGU